AUUGAACGCUAGCGGGAUGCUUUACACAUGCAAGUCGAACGAGUGGCGGACGGGUGAGUAAUAUAUCGGAACGUGCCCAGUAGCGGGGGAUAACUACUGGAAACGGUAGCUAAUACCGCAUACCAUCAGAUGAACCCAUAUGGGAUUAGCUAGUAGGUAAGGUAACGGCUUACCUAGGCGACGAUCCCUAGCUGGUCUGAGAGGAUGAUAAGACAAACGGGGACUGAGAAACGGCCAAGACGCCUACGGGAGGCAGCAGGGGGGAAUAUUGCACAAUGGGCGCAAGCCUGAUGAAGCCAUGCCGCGUGUAUGAAGAAGGCCCUAGGGUGGUAAAGUACUGUCAGUCGGGAGGCGUGACCGACAGAAGAAGCACCGGCUAACUCCGUGCCAGCAGCCGCGGUAAUUC
rnacentral:rRNA from 1 species